rnacentral:rRNA from 1 species
UGGGGAAUAUUGCACAAUGGAGGAAACUCUGAUGCAGCGACGCCGCGUGAAGGAUGAAGUAUUUCGGUAUGUAAACUUCUAUCAGCAGGGAAGAAAAUGACGGUACCUGACUAAGAAGCCCCGGCUAACUACGUGCCAGCAGCCGCGGUAAUACGUAUGGUGCAAGCGUUAUCCGGAUUUACUGGGUGUAAAGGGAGCGCAGACGGCAUGGCAAGCCAGAUGUGAAAGGUGGGGGCUCAACCCCCAAGCUGCAUUUGGAACUGUCAAGCUAGAGUAUCGGAGAGGUAAGUGGAAUUCCUAGUGUAGCGGUGAAAUGCGUAGAUAUUAGGAGGAACACCAGUGGCGAAGGCGGCUUACUGGACGAUAACUGACGUUGAGGCUCGAAAGCGUGGGGAGC